UACGGAGGGGGCAAGCGUUGUUCGGAAUUACUGGGCGUAAAGGGCGCGCAGGCGGCUGCUCAAGUCAGGCGUGAAAGCCCGGGGCUCAACCCCGGGAGGCGGGUGGAUACUGGUCAGCUCGAGUCCGGAAGAGGAGUGUGGAAUUCCUGGUGUAGCGGUGAAAUGCGCAGAUAUCAGGAGGAACACCAAUGGCGAAGGCAGCACUCUGGGACGGUACUGACGCUGAGACGCGAAAGCGUGGGGAGCAAACAGG
rnacentral:rRNA from 1 species